CGAGGGGCUCGAGUUGGGUCUGCAGUGGGCACAGGACCUAGUUUUGUACAGUUAAUGGUGGGUUUGAGUAAAGGCGGGGGAGGGGGGCGGUGGGAAGGAAGGAAGCUCCCUUUAUUCCUUUCCCAACGGACCUGAAGGAGGCUUCAUUGAAUUGAGCGCCCCUGGCUUGUAGAGCAGGAGGAGGAGGCAUUUCAUGGACAGCAUUGGCUGAGAGUUCGAGAUCAUCUCGGAAUGCCAGAAAUGUGGGUUGGGUCGUGAGGUCUCUGAAGACAGUGGGUGAGCCUCCAGUAUAAGGCGCUGCGUCCUUUUGGUAGAGAGCUGGCAGAAGUCCGAGUGUUUGUUGCGCGGCUAGGCCAGCCUGUGCGCCCAUCAGAAGCGCUAGCGAGGGCAGGGUAGCCCGGAGUGAACCGCAUGUUCAGCUGUGUACUCCGAGUUAAACUGUUUUUCUGCAAACUUUGCUUGAGCCGGUGACUCUGGAAUUGGGGAAAGGGUUACCCUAGGUGGCGGAUAUUUGUAGGAGACACAGAGGUAAGGACCAACUGUUAGGAAUGUGUGAAAAGUGGUUUCCUCCAACUGUAAAAGUGGAAUAAAAACAAUACCUAUCUUAUGGGGGGGCAGUGAGGAGUAAUGAGUUUGAUAUAUGUCAAGCUCUUAAAACUACGCAGAGACUCCAUCUCAAACAAACAGAAAAAUCAACCUUGCCCAUCAUAAGCACUGUUUAAACGUUAGUUGUUAUCUUUUAAAACUAUUAUUGGAUGCUUAAUAUGAAUGAGUAAAACUUGUCAAAGAAAUAUGGCGUUAGAGCCCAGAAGAAAUAAAGUUUAUAAAGGGCUUCCAUAGAAAGACUAAAUGCGUGGAAUUUGGUAAAAAUCUUGAAAAAACUUAGUAGGUAUAGAUAUUCAAUGAUUCAGUAAAUGUUUCCGGAGCAUUUAUCACGUGCCCGCUACUGUUGGAGCUCAGAGAAUGGUUCCUAUGCAGUUUACGUUCUAGUAAGAGAGCGAGGCCCGAUAACCCUGGGAGAGGACGGAUCUCAGGGACCGCGAGAUGGGAAGGCAUUGUAGCAGGAGCUGAAAAGUACAGAGUGAAAGGAGGUAUUCUGGGAUUGCAUUGGGACUUGAAGGGGACAUAAUGGGAGUGUAGGGGCGUGGGGUUAGCACAAGGGGAGCCUCAACUGGCUUACUAAGACAUUUACCUCAAUGAUAGGGGUCAACCACUGUAGGGUUUUGUUUUUUUUUAAGAACACGUAAGUAACAACACUAGGUUUUGUAGGUUUUUGAAAGCUCAUGGCUGAACCUGAGUUUUUGGAUAGGUGGGGAGCAUAAAAUAAUACCUAAUGUUUAUUGAGUCCGCACUGUAUGUUGGGCAUGGAUAGUUUUAAGUAUUUCUCAUAACUCUAUAUGAUGAAUACUACUGUUAUCCCCAUUUUGCAGUUGAGGAAAGUGAGACACGGAUUACUUUACUCAAGGUCUCACAGCUGAGAAUGUGGGAACCCGCUUGGAGCCCUUCUUCUGAAUUAUGCCUGACUCCUACUUGUAGUCUGGUUGAAGAGUUAAGAUUAGCACACUCAACAGAGAUAGAAAACAGUUGUUCAGCCUAUAAUAAAGUGCUGAAUUUUGUGGGCAAACUUUACAUAAACUCUUUCCUUAGCUGGUCUUGAGAGAAAAAUUAAAUCAUAUUCUAUUUAUUUCAUUUUCAUCUUUUUAUGACACAAAACAUAAGUGAUGACACAAAAAUCACCCACAGUUUUACUGUUACUGGAGAAAACGUAAUCGUUUUCAUUCUUAGUUUAAAAUCAAAGCAUUUGGAAUUUAUUACUGGAAUGUAUUUUCUUUCCUUCCACUUCCGGCCUCUCUGUGUGAUGACCCUCAUUCCCAGCACUUCUAACUAGCUCUCAUUGGGACACUGGAGUCCUCAUGCUUGCCCCAUUGACAUGAGCUUUCAAUGUUCCAGCUAGAUAGGCCCCAGUCAUUUAGAAAGCAAUUUGGUUUGGGAGGUGUUGAAAUAAAGAACAGGAAAAGCAAUUCUCUGCAGAGAGAAUUUGGUUUACUUUUCUAAAAAUACAACAAACCCAUCCACUCUUACCCUGGCAGAUGCCUCCCCUGUUAUAGAGAAAUGUCUUCUUUCUUCCUCCUUCACAUCAUUGCACACCUGAUGAAGUCAAUCAGGGUAAUUAAAAAACAAAAGCAAAACAAAGAAACUGGGCAGUUGCUGAAGGCAGGGGAGGAGAGUGGACAGGCCUGCUACGUGAGCCACGUAGGUGACCAGGCUGGUCUUUCCAGUCCGCCUUUCUUCUUCCUUCCUUGUGGUUUUUGAAACAAAGAAAGGUGACCUUUGCACUGUGAGCUAGAGCCUCUUCUUUCAGAGAGCAGUCAGCUCAGAGGUCACAUUUAGCGUGCACUCAAAAUGUGUGCUGAGUUGAGUUGUUGCGAGGAUUAUUUACCCUUCGGAGUGUUGCUGCUCUUUCCCGGCCUGUUUAGUGAAUGUCUGUGGCCUGGGGGAGCAGAGUCCAGCCUUUUGUUACCUCCUGAUUCAUGACUCAUUUACCACAUCUGCUGUAUGAGAGGUUGGCCUCAUUUGCCCACCCACUGAAUCCCAGAUUGUAUAUGUCAAGCAGGACACCUCUCCUUAACCCAUCUGCUUGCUCUGUGCUAAGCUUGAAAGACUGGGGUUAUACUGAGUAGCCUUUUCUUUCCCUAAAAUAGCAAGGGUCUCACUCUGUUGUCUAGGAUUAGUGCAGUGGCUGGAUCAUGGCUGACUGCAGCCUCGACCUCCCAGGCUCGAAGGAUCUUCCUGAGUAGUUGGGACUAUAGGUACGUGCUACCAUGCCUUGCUACUUUUUUAUUUUUUGUAGAGAAGGGGCCUCACUGUUACCCAGGCUGGCCUCAAACUCCUAUAGUCAAGUACUCCUAAUUCAAGCAUUUCUUAAACAAGCAUCGUGGACUUAGUACUGUGUACUAAGAAUAGGUCUAUGUAUUUGCAUUAUUUUUGUAUCCACACUAAUUUUCUCUCAUGCUCAUCCUGUACCAGGGAAUGUUCUAAGCAUCUUAGAUUCUCACAAUGUCUUUUAUAGGGUUGAUGUUUAUAGAUGACAAAACUGCGGUAGAGAGGCCAAGUGAGUUGUAGGAUGUAGUCAUUAAGAAGGCUCCCAGGGAUCCCUCCUCCGUAACAGCUUCCCUGUGAAUGAGGGCUGAUCUUGCUUUAAAUGAACAGAAUAUGGUCAAAGUGAUAGAAUGUCACUUCUGAAAUUAGGUUAAAAAAGACUAUGAAUGCCAUCUUACUGUCCCUCCGUUCCUCUUGCAUGCUGUCUUAGCUUGAGCUGCUAUAACAAAAUAUCAUAAACUAGGUGACUUAAAUAACAAACAUUUAUUUCUUAGAGUUGUGGAGGAUGGGAAGACCAAGGUCAAGGUACCACAGGUGUCUAGCAAUGGCCUGCUUCCUAGUUCAUAGAUAACAGCCUUCUCACUGAGUCCUCACAUAGCAGAGAUAGGAAGCAAGUUCUCUAAGGAUUCUUCUAAGGAUACCAGUCUUCUUUGUGAGGGCUCCACCCUCGUAACCUCCUUUAAUCCUAAUUACCUCCCAAAGACCCCACCUGCAAACACCAUUACUUUAGGGAGUACAGUUUCAGUAUGUGAAUUUUGAGGAGACACAAGUAUUCAGUCUACAACCUUCUCUAAGCCCUCUCUGUGAAUGAAGCCAGUUACCAUGUUGGGAGUAGCUCUAUGAAAAGGUCCACAUGACAAGGAACUCAUGUCUCUGGCCAACAGCCAGUGAGAACCCUGGGCUUGCCAAUAAUGAGUGAGUUUGGAAGUGGAUUCUCCCAGCCGAGCCUUGUGAUGAUUGCAACCCUGGCUCACAAGUGAUUAUGCUUGUGACACCGUGACCUAGAGGACUCAGCUGAGUUGACACACAGAAACUGUGAGAUAAUGAAUGUGUGCUGUUUUUACUUUUAUCUUUAUUUUUAGAGACAGGGUCCUGGUAUGUUGCCCAGGCUAUAGUCCAGGGGCCAUUCUCAGACACAGUCAUGGCGCACUGCAGCCUGGAACUCCCAGGCUCAAGUAAUCCUCGUGCCUCAGCCUCCCAAGUUGCUGGGAAUACAGGUGUGUGCCACUGCACCUGGCUUCAGUGUUUGCUGUUUUAAGCCAUGAAGUUCUGAGAUCAUUUGUUACACAGCAAUAUACAACUAAAACACCUGGCCCAGGUCACAAGGCUUACAUGAAAAAUGAUUUUUAAUUAUAAUACUAUUUAAAUAUAUGGAAACAAAUACAGGAAUAUGAUUUUUAUUAUCUACACCUAUAGAAACAAAAACACUGAACACCAACAAAACCAGAAUUCAUGUUCUUCUUUCUUAUUUUUAUUUAAAUCCAUAUUUUUCAGAUAAUAAUUUAAUAUGAUAGAAAAUGUGCUCAAAUGGAAUCAUCAUUUAGUUUGGAAACAACCUCAGUGUCCAUCAAUAAGAAAAAGAACUAUUAAAAACCAUCCUAUAAAAUGUUCUGCAAUUUAGAAGAGGCCUCCAAGACAAAUUAUUACAUGAAAAAAGCCACUGUGGCUGGGCACGGUGGCCCAUGCCUGUAAUCCCAGCACUUCGGGAAGCCGGGGCUGGCAGAUUGCCUGAGGUCAGGAAUUUGAGACCAACCUAGCCAACAUAGUGAAACCCUGUCUAUACUAAAAAUAAGAAAAUUAGCUGGGCGUGGUGGUGUGCACCUGCAGUCCCAGCUACUCAGGAGGCUGAGGCAGGGAGAAUCGCUUGAACCUGGGAGGAGGAGGUUGCAGUGAGCAGAAACUGUGCCAUUGCACUCCAGCCUGGGCAACAGGGUGAGACUCUGUCUCAAAAACAACAACAAAAACCACACUUCAGCCCAAAACUCCAAAAUGAUUCCAUUUCUGUAAAAAAUACCAUGUGAGGCAAAAUGACUGUAUGCUUCCAAGAGCAUAGAAAGGUCUGGAAGAAGACACUGAACUGAUGGCAGCAGCUGCCUCCGGGAAGGGGAAUGUGUGCGGAUAUGGAGUAUGGGCAGCAUACAUACUUUCUAUAUUUCUGGAGUUUGUUUUUCCUUCUCUUGUUCUUUUUUGUUCGUACAAUGAGAAUUUAUUCAUGUGUUUCUUGUAUUCUUUUUUAAAACAGUGUGUUGUCCUUGCCUUUCUGGGGGUUAUUUUAGUGAAAGAUUGAUUUAGCUGCAGGGUUGGUGCCAAAUGGGUGAUAUGUAAAGACUAGACAGCCAGAAAAGGUGGGCGUUAUACUGCUGCGGAAAGGACCUGGGGGCUUCAGUCAGGUCUGUGGGUCUGAGAGGUGACUUGCUCAAAUUAGUAUUGUAAAAAGAGUAACCCAAAGUGUGUGAGUAGAAUUUGGAGACCCCGGAAAAAAAGAAAUAGAUGGGUUGGAGGAUCUGCUGCUCCAAUGGAGGCUUCCUGGGUCAAGUAGAGUUGAAAGCUGUGAGCCAGGUUGUGACCAGUUGUCAGCUGGCCAAGAGCAAAGAUUUAUUCUGUCAGUACUGUCACAUUUGGAGGCCACAGAUAACAUCAAGCCCAGGCCUGACUUUUUGGAGAGAUAGUAGCCCAGUAGGGGAAUAACAUUAAUUAUAAAACCCUUACACAGUGCUCACUGGAUAUCAGACACUCUUUCAGGCACAUUGCAUUUAAUCCUUCUUAGAACCUUGGAAGGCUUGUGCUCUAUGAAUCCCCUUUUAUAGAUGAACAAACCUCCAAGAGGAAGUUUAAUCCCCUGUGCUAGGUCAUAUGCUGUUGUUGUACCUGAGUGAGUCAAGGAAUGUGCCACAUUUUAAGAUUGAAUUAUGAGUUCUUUAUGGAGCCGGUGACGAAGAGUGGCUAAUGCCCCAAAUUUUUUUGGCCCCGAAGAAAAAGUUAGGUGGUUUUUUAUACACUAGUUUUAACAGGGAGGGGGAACCUUGCUAAAGUAAAGUUUUUACAAAAGCAGAGUAAGCAAAAAGUUAAAAGAUAAACUGAUAUAUAAGAAAUAAAGCAGUGCCAGGUGUGAGGGGUAAAGCUGUCAUGAGAGGCAUACAACUUAUAGAUAAUGGGGGCUCUGGGCGCUCCCUGCACCUGCAUUUCCAGGCUCUGCUGACACCACUUCACUCAGCCUCUUAUCAACAAACGCAUUCCUGGGUGCCCAGUGUCAGCCUGACCCAGCUUUUAGUCUGGGAAAGGGAGAGUUAGUUUUAGCUGGCAGAAAGCAGGUUAUCGCACUGGUGAGUGGCAGAACCAUGAUUUGGAUCCAGGCUGUUUAACUGCAGUGACCAUGCUCUUAACCAGUUGGUGGUCCUGCCAGACAUCAUUUUGAAAAUCUAAUACAGUGUGAUAAACACCACAAUAGAGUUGGGAAAAGAGAGGAGGGUGAAGUUUAGCACUUCCUGGGCAAGUGUGAGGAAGACAUCAAGGAAAAGCAAGAGUAGGAAUGUGACAGCCAAAGGAGGGGGUGGAGACUGCAGUUCAGAGACAGGGGAGCACAGACGUGAAGGUGCAGAGCUCCUGAAACCUUCCCACCUGGGGGAGUCUUCUGUCCUCUCUCCUUUAGGAGCCAUCCUUGGAUCCCCACUGGCCUCCUUUCUGAACCCGCUAUGGAGGCAGAGUUGCAUACACAACAUUUCUCCCAGGACUGUUUGUUCUUAGAUCUCGAUCCCUUAGUGAGAAGGGAAGAAAGGCAGAAGGGAGAGCGUCCGGAAUAAUCUCUCUAUUCUCCAUCCCCACAUCUCUAGGUCUGACCCCCAGAGAGCCUCAUUCAUACCAGCCCAACCCAACACAGAAUGUGGAUCACUGAGAAACAGCAAAAUUGCUAUAACCUCGAGGCCUCAAAUAAUACAUUCCUUUCCUUUGACAUUAAUUUGGUCAGAUUAAAAAUCCAAUAACCUACUGUCAUUGAGUCCAAGAAAAGAGAUGGUAAUAAAAGGGAGAAUCUGACUCCAUAAUGGAAAGCAGGUGUUUUUAAAAUUGGUUCCUCCAGCUGUCUGUGCUAUAGAAAUUCCCAAAAAAAGUAGAAAAGCUGCUUCUUCCCCUUCUGUCUUCUCUGACUUGGUGAGUGGCCCUGUUAUUGCCCCAUUUGCCCGCUUGGACUCCAGGAAAUGUUCUCCAGGAGUGGAGUUCACUUCCCUCCAGCUCAGCCUAAUUCAGCGCAUCCUGCACACCUGGCGCACCACGCCAUCCCUGCUGCCCCUGCCUUCACCAAGGGCCUACACAAGUCACCUGGGAACUCUGCCUUCCACCACCUCACCAGCCUUCCCUCCUCCAGCCCGUUUCACUGCCUCCGCAGCACAGACAUAAAUAACUCUGGCAAAUGAAUAGCUGAUCUACCGUGUAAUGAGUGCCAUAGCGUUGAGUAGUAAGAUGCAAACCAUUUACCUUAUUGGGGAACUCAUCAAGUGUGAAAAUGUUCACAGUAUGCCCAGCCUUGGACUAGUUGCACUGUUUUCAGACUGCUUCAGGGGGGGCUCAUGGAAAACAAGGGUAGGCAGUGCCCACAGAUCUGAGACCCCCAGAAUCAGAAGGUGCAAACCUCCAGGAAACAGGCAACUUGUUAUCUCCGAUUAUUUGUCAGAGUCUAUUUAACCCUUCCUCUUUCUGCAAACUAGCUCUUACUGCUUUCCAGAGCAUGAGGUCACAGGUAGCCAGCCUGCAAAUUUUGAGUUUAUCAUCCUGUGUUUCAGCUGCCUCUCCUGAGGGGUGAGGCACUGCCAAAUCUCAGAUUUAAGCUCAAAUCUCAGGAGAGAGAAUCUGAUUGGACAGUUUAGAUCAGGUCACUAUUCCCAAUCCAUUAAGCUAAGGCCACACAGACAGGCUCACUGGCUGCAAACAUGGUUGCCGCAUGUCCACCCUUGUGGGUGGGUGAGAGGAAUUCUGACAGGAGCAGUUUAGGACUGACCAGAUACUACAAAAGUUGCCUAUUAUGUGUGGUUGGUUGUUUUUUGAGACAGAGUCUCACUCGGUAGCCCAGGAUGGAGUGCAGUGGCAUGAUACAUAGCUCACUGCAACCUCAAACUCCUGGGCUUAAGCGAUUCUCUUGCCUUUGCCUCUUGAGUUGCUGUUACCACAGGCACCCGCGCCACCACACUAGGCUAUUUAUUUUAAACUUUUUGUAGAGACAAGGUCUGGCUAUUUUGCCCACAUUGGUAUCGAACUCCUGGGUUCAAGUGAUCCUUCCGCUUCAGCCUCUCAAAAUCCUCGGAUUGCAGGCACGAGUCACCACACCCAGCCUAUUACGUGUUUUAAGGAAAGAUGUGACCUCUGGCUUCUUGGCACUUACGCCUCGUUGGGGAAAUUAAAUGGUAAGUUGGGGUUACUUCAAACAAAUGUAAAAUCUUUGAUUUUAUGGAAAGAAUUUGGAGUUUAUGAUGGAUGUAUUGAUCUUGAUUUUAAGGGAUCAUACAGCUUUGAGUUUUAGAGAGAAUGCUUAUUUCAAAUGAGAGGAAGAGAAGGAUCAUAGGUUCCUAAAAGGAGCGCAUGAGGGCAGUAGACGGUCCUCAAGGUGGAUUCCAUUUUGAAUGCUGAGAGGUGAGAUUAGGUGGAAAAGUGGGAACAUUCAUCAGAAGGAUUUGAACAACAAAGAGAUAAGUUUAGACUUGACUCGUUACAACAGGGAAUACGGAUGUCUAAAAUGGAAACUGAGUGUGUUUGGGAAUCACAUAGACUUGGUCAUUAUAAUUAUCAUUUUUGAGAACGGAUCUUGCUGUUUUUCAGCCUGGAGUGCAGUGACCCAAUCAGGGUUCACUAUUGCUUUGAUAUCCUGAGCUCAGGCGAUCCUCCUGCUUUAGCCUCCCAAGUGGCUGUGGCUGUAGGUACACACAACCCCACCUGGCUAAUUUAGACUUGGGUUUGAGUCUGUCCCUUGCUGUCGUUUAUGGGACUUGGGCAAUUUUCUUAACUGCAGAAUCUCAGUAUCUUCAUCUGGAAAAUGGCAGUAAUAGUACUGGUGGAUAAUGGGCAUCUGUGGCUUUGUCUGUCCAGUAUCCAUUCCCACUCUUUUUUUUCUUUUGAAAACAGAGCCUUGCUCUGUCACCUAGCCUGGAGUGCAGUGGCAUGAUCUUGGUUCACCAUAACCUUUGCCUUCCAGGUUCACAUGAUUCUUGUGUCUCAGCCACCCAAGUAGCUGGGACUACAGGUGCACACCACCAUUCCCGGCUAAUUUUUGUAUUUUUGGUAGAGAUGGGGCUUCACCGUGUUGGAAGGCUGGUCUCGAACUCUUGGCCUCAAGUGAUCAGCCCACCUUGGCCUCCCAGAGUGCUGGGAUUACAGGCGUGGGCCACCGUGCCUGGCCCAUUCCCACUCUUGAUUAACAUUCUUUGGUAUUACUUUGGAGAACUAUAUUGUGUGAUUUGGGUAGGACUGACUUUGCCUCACAGCUAGAAAAUGGACACAUAACACUGGCCAGGGCCACCCAUGCAGCACCUUCCUCAGGAUCCUUUACCUUUAUCUGUUGGAAAUUGUUGUAUUUCAUAUACAGAUCUAUGACAUAUAUGGUGUGAAUGGUGCCUCUUUCCAUGUGGUGCUUUGUAUAUUACACAACCUGUGCAACUGUACAAAGCUGCUCUGACCCUGGCUAACUAGAACAGUCUACCCUUGGCCACAGAUCAGGAAAGCAAAAGUGAUCCAGGAGAUAAUUGCUUGCUAGAAAAGGGAUGGAUUUCCUAAGCUCAAUGUUCUUUGGUUGCAAUGUAAAUAUAACUAUGUGCAAAGCAUCCAUCUGAGCCAUAUUGUGCCACCCUGGAAGGACAUGGUGUCACAGCAUCCAUGGGCUGUCACUUUGCCAGCUGGAAACCUCUGUGCCUGGCAGUGCCUUAUGCCUGAGUAUUGCUUGUGUCCUCUUGGCUCAUUCUACCCACUCAGCCUGGCAGGCUGUGUUCAGCUUGUGCUACCAGCCUGGAUCCCAUACCUGCCAAGGGCAAGCCAGGUAUGGAGCAGUGAGGGGUGUGUGGGUGAAUGAGUGUGGGGUCAGGUCACUAUGCACAGCUAGGCGUGCUGGCUGCUGUGGUGGGGUGGGCACUUCCAGGCACUAGCAUGGAUGCCAGCUUUGUGUGAGGCUGCGGCUGAACCAGAUGUACUGCACACCUUUGGCUGCAGCACCUGUGUCUGGAUGAGGGGAGCUUGGUGGUGCUCAGUAGCUUGGAGAUGCCAGGAACCAUAAAGCCCCAAAGAAGGUGUCCAUGCCCUGCUCAGGGAUGCCCUAAAUCUGGGCUCCCCAAAAGGCUGCUGCUCUUUUUUCUUUCUCAUUGCCCACAGUGUGGCGAGCAGGGGCUUGUGUUUUAGCCUUGUUUGUGUCACAGCACUUUGAGUCCUGCCAUUCAGCAGGUCCUGAGUUCUUGUCUCAUGUCCAGGAAGAAUGAGAUACUGAACAACUGGAGGGUGAGCAAGAUGGAAAGGAGCUUCACUGAGCAACAGAACAGCUCAGAGGAGACCUGCAGUGGGUAGCUCCUUUCCACAGCUGGUAGUCCUGUUGUCUGUGUGAGUCUGGCUUUUUUACAGGCCCAAAAGGGAGGAAGUGCAUGCUGAUUGGUCCAUGGGCGGCCAUGGGCAGCCCGGAAAAACAAGUUCUCACGCCGGGCCUUGAACUCUACUUGGAACUGGCAGCUCAGCCCCUAGGCUUCAGGCUGUCCCUGGCUCAAAGAUGGGGUUUCACCAGGGAUCUGUCCCCUUCCUGCCCAGGAACCUGUCUCCUGCCAUCAACAUGUCAUCCAUGGCACCCAGGAUGUUUGUGCCAAGGGACAUCUACAGGCCCACAUGGAGCCACUCUCAGCACCCCUUGGUCUCCCUGAGCUCGUUGGUGCCCAAAAUUUCAGAGGGGGCCAAGGUGAUGGGAAGGGGAAGGGGGAAUGCUGGCAUGUCAGCGCUCCCUCCAGUGCAUGCACACCCAGGUGGGUCAAAAUCGCACCUGGGCUCAGCUUCAACUUUGCUCUGAAAUUGGAGCAGGCACCAGGAGCAGGGAAAAGCCAGGGAGCAGUAGCAGGCUUUUGUAAACCAGCAGGGGCAGCGGGGCUUCCCGGACCCCCUAGAGUGCAGGGAUGCCUGGUUCUGGAGCUGUGGCUAGGCAGCUGCAGCUGUGCCCAGGAAUGUGGGGUUCCUACCCUGCCAACUUAGUAGGGGGUGGGGCUCCUUCUUGUUCCUGGCUCCUGCUGGCCCUGCAGAGCACGCAGCCUUGGCUGUGCCUCCCCUGCCACAGGCAGUGUCUUCCCGGGGGCCACUCUGGAGAGUCCAAUGCUGCCAUCACUGGGUUCAAGGGAAUCAAUGUAAAUACGCUGAUGCUUAUGAUGUUGUGCCAUCAUUGUUGUACCAUGAGUAACACAGUUCUUUGUAUCUGAUUCAGAAGUUGUGUGUCCUCUGGCAGCAUCUAUGAAAUAGUUUCAGGCUGACUUAUUAGCUCAAAAGACCAGACCUGAUACGAAUCCUCCCUCCAUUUUGGUUUCUCAGGCCAGAAAGAGUUGGGGUCUGUCACUUACAAUAGAAAAGUUGUAACAAACGCCGGGCACGGUGGCUCACGGGAGGCUGAGGCGGGUGGAUCACGAGGUCAAGAGAUCGAGAUCAUCCUGGUCAACAUGGUGAAACCCCGUCUCUACUAAAAAUAGAACAAAUUAGCUGGUCAUGGUGGUGCGUGCCUGUAAUCCCAGAUACUCAGGAGGCUGAGGCAGGAUAAUUGCCUGAACCCAGGAGGUGGAGGUUGCGGUGAGCCAAGAUCGUGCCAUUGCAUUCCAGCCUGGGAAACAAGAGCGAAACUCCGUCUCAAAAAAAAAAAAAUCUUUUGGCCAGGCGAGGUGGCUCAUGCUUGUAAUCUCAGCACUUUGAAAGGCUGAGGCAGGUGGAUCACCUGAAGUCAGGAGUUUGAGACCAGCCUGACCAACAUGGUGAAACCCCAUCUCUACUAAAAAUACAAAAGUUAGCUGGGCUUGGUGGUGGAUGCUUGUAAUUCCAACUACUCGGGAGGCUGAGGCAGGAGAAUCGCUUGAUCCUCAGUUGCACUGAGCCAAGAUUGUGCCACUACAGAGUGAAACUGGGUGGCAAGAGUGAAACUCCGUCUCAAAAAAAAAGCUUUUAAUCUAUAAAAGUUUCUCCUUCCUUUUAUUCUUCCUUAUCAUUUAUUUGUUGGAGAAACUACGUCCUUCACAUAGAAUUUCACAAAUUUUAGAUUAAGCUAAUUGUAUCCUUUGAUGGAGAUAAGCGUUCCUCUAGCUCUCAUAUUUCCACUACACUGGGAGUUAGGUAUAGAUCUGCACUGCUUGUGUGGUAGUCCCUAGUCACAUGUGGCUACUGAGCACUUCAAAUGUGGUUAGUAUGAAUUGAAAUGUGCUACGAAUGUAAAAUAUACAACCAGAAUUCAGACUAUGAAAAGAAUAGAAGAAUAUUGUAUUAAUAUUUUUGUAUUGAUUACAUAUUAAAAUAUUUUGGAUGUAUUACCUAAAAAUAUAUUUAAAAAUUAGUUUUUCCUCCUCAUUUUUACUUUUUAAAUGUGGUUACUGAAAAAUUUUUAAUUACAUAUGUAGCUUAUAUUUGUGUUGGACAGUGCUGAAGUUUUCGUUAGAUUCAGAUUCCACUUUUUUCUUUUUUAACAAGGGAACUUUCAUGCUGAUGUGGUAUACUUCUCUUUGCAUUCCAUCUGGGCGUGCAUAAUAUCCAGUUGUCCUACUGGUAGGGAUGUUACGAUUGCUCUGGUGAGAAAGAGAAAAGCUGACCUGGAACUCAUAGCUAAGACCUUAGUGUUCUGUUGAACAUCACCAAAUUCACAGAAUACCAGCAUAACGCAGGACCAAACUGUGACUAAUGGAGCAAGGUGAAACAAGACAACACCAUAACCAUGUCUGAGCGCAUGUACAAAGAAGUACAUUGUCCAAACCACUGAACACCUCCCUUUCUUGGCUAAUAUAAAUGGCAGUGGCUUCUUUACCAUUUACAGCUUUAACUUUACUUUGUUCUUUCUGCCUUUUUAGAUGAGAAUCAUUAACAUAUCCAAUUAUGGACUCACCCCUGCUUCCUGCAGCAAAGUUCUAUUUCCUUAAAAUUUUCCCCAAAUCAUUUCCACAAGCCCAGACCUUAUGAGUCCUUGCUAACACCCUGUUGAGAUGUCCCUGGCUCCCUUUGGCUUAUAUUUUCUCUUCUUGUAGUGAGGCAAUGAACACAAUGGAAUUGACUAAAGAUGUGUUUGGGGCAUUGACCAUGGGCUCAGGUAGUGUUGGCCUCAUCCUUCCAUUCUAAAGUUUGUUGGAUAAAUUUUUAAGCACAGGUACAAUUUUAUGCAAUUAAAUGUUUGGGAAUUACACAGUACUUAUUUGUGACUGUUGUGAUACUGGACAUAUCAGUUCCAACAAUUAUUGAAGCAAUUUUGCAAACAGACCUCAGCCCAUUUGUUUAUUAUAUUAGUUUGCUGGAAAUACCGUAAAAAAGUACCACAAAGUGGGUGACUUAAAACAGCAGUGCUACAGUUAGUUGUCUUGCAGUUCUGGGUGCUGGAAGUCCAGGUCAUGGUGUUGGCAAAGGUUGGCUCCUUCUAAGGGCUGUGAGAGGGAAUCUGUUCCCUGCCUCUCCCCUUGCUCCUGAUGGUUUGCCAGCAAUCUUUGUGUUCCUUGACUUGUAAACACAACAGCUCGCCUCUGCCUUCAUGUUCACCUGGAAUGCUUCCUGUGUCACUGCCUCUAAAAACGACCUCAUUUUAACUUGAUUAUCUCUGCAAAGAUUCUGUUUCCAAAUAGGAUCACAUUCUGAGGUACUGGGAGUUAGGACUUCAACAUGCAAAAUUUUCAGGGACACAAUUAAACUCAUAAUAGUAAUUCACAAGUAUUAGAAUCUUUCUGGUAGGUGUCAAUAGCCAUCAAUCUUAGAGGUAAGUGACGGUGAAUAUUUCUUGACAGUUUCACAACUGGUUUAUAUUAAAAGUGAAUUGUCAGCCAAAUUCUACAUACAUAUAGACAUUUAUUAAAUAAGCAUGUAUUAAAAAGUAGGCUCAGGAACAGUUCAUAAAACCUGUUUUAUAAUCUUGGGAAGUCCCAGACCUCUUUUCUUUAGGGGCUCUAACCAUACCACAUAUAAAGGAUUCAUCGUGGCAGAUACACCAGCUAGAGGCAAGAUUCAGCUAACUCUACAGUUGUACCAGCCAACCAGAAACCUCUGAAAUAGGACUGGACAUAGAAUCAUUUGUUAUUCUAGCCCUGUCUGCCAUUCUUACAGGCAAAGGUGAAGGACUCAUCCUAAUUGUGAUAAGAUGGGGAGUAUCUCUAAAAACAUUUUAUCUUGAACUGUACUAGUUUCACCAAUGGCUACAAUAGUAUCCAUUAUGCUAAUUAACAAGUCACUAAUUUCACCUAUAAAACCCUAUUAAUAGCAUUUAUUAUAAUUAGCAGAGCCUCUGUUGUUGAUUGAAGGUAGCUAAAGCCUUGUGAUAGCCCUCUCUGGUGUGUGGCAUUUUGAUUAAAUGCUAGCUGUGAAUUCUUGAUUAGGGCAACCAACUGUCCCUGGAGUAUAAAGACUAGCAAACACAUACAUUUACGUCACACUAUCUGAGCUAAAGUAUUUAAAAGUAAAUUACAGACAUAAUAACCAGACCACUCCAUUUAAGAGUAUAUUUGGGAGGUUACAUAAUAAACAGAUGCACAUUGGAGUGUAAAGACCAUGGAAUGGGGUCAAAUGUGCCCUUUCUCAGCUGUUUUUGUGACCUUGGGCAAUCAUUUAAGUUUUCUGGGUUUCAGUUUCUUCGUCCAUAAAAUGAAAGGCUUAGAUUGAAUGAUUCUUUCAGUUCCCUUUAGCACUUAUGUUCCACAAUUCAAUUCUAAGAGCUAACACAUCCACAUGUAUAAAAUAACAUAAUGCAGACUGAAUACAUGACUGUUGAGAAGUGGUGUAAGGGCGAGAUUGGAUUAGUCGAGAAAGACUUUGGAAAAAUGAGGCAAAACCAGUCAUUAGUGAAUUAUUUUAUUUGAUAACAUUUGUAUGUUUUUAUAUAUGUGUGCCUGUGUAUUUACACGUGUGUGUGUGUAUAUAUAUAUAUAUAUUUUUUUUUUCUUUCCUUUCUUUUUGCCUAUAAGCCCAAAAUGCACAUUUUGUGCAGAUCAAAAUGAUCCUUGGUACUUUAAGGCUCAACUUUGGGAUAUUAGACAUGAUUUGAGGUGACUUUGUUAGCUUUUAGAAUCUGUGAUUGGCAAACAGACAGGAUAUUGGUUUUGCUUGCUCGAAGUUGACAAGUGCUAGAGUGGCAGAUUUCUGACUUGGCUUCAAGUUCAAAAAAAAGCUACCAGUUUGGUUCUGUGCCUCCUUCAGUGAGGCUUGUAGUAAAUGGCUAUUUGUAAGACUAAAGCCUGAAUAAAGAUGUACAUUCCUUUUUGUUCAGAAAGCAAAAGGAAAAAACAUACUGAUUUCAAAUACCUUGAUUUAUGUAGUAUUCAAAUCCUAAAUAUUGCUGCAGGCACAUAAUUCAGACAAACCCCACUGGAAAAUUUUCUGUGCUUCAUUUGACAGUAUAUGCUUCAUAACAGUUCCCAGACAUUCUGCCCAGGGAUGCUAAAAGAUAAUGCAGUAGCUUCCUUUUGUCUAGGAUGCAAACACAUGCUGGACAGAGGCAGGAAGGGGACAAACUGAAAUAUCCACGAGGACUAGGCAAGUAAAGUCAGGCAUGAAACCGGCUGAUGUGAGUCAGUAGGAUGUGAUAGGGCAAGCCUGGCCCCACUGAAGGGGGAAGGCCACCACCCAGCUUCUGUGGAUGUGCCAAUGGGAAUUAUACAUCCAAGACUGACAGAUAUUCCACCAUUUACAGAGUUGCUAGAGAACUCAAUAUUUUAUCUUCCCCCAAAGCUGGAAAUCCAGAUUUUUGUGUGACAAUUCUUGAUAAUUGAAUGUUUUUAAUGAAUUUAAACUUUUAAAAAAGUUUUCUAGGUCGAAAAAAAUCAACUUGUACAAUGUAGACAUUUAGGCCAUUGGUUUAUGAUGGAAGAAACAAGGGCUUUAGAAACACCCGAGAAUAGUCAUAUAAAAUCACUUAUUGGCUAUGUAACAUCAGGUAGUGUAUUAGUCUGUUUUUACACGACACAUUCAGGACUGGGUAAUUUAAAAAGGAAAGAGGUUUAGUUGACUCACAGUUCCACAGGGCUGGGGAGACCUCAUAAAACUUACAAUCAUGGUGGAAGGGGAAGCAAACAUGUCCUUCACAUGGCGGCAGCAAGAAGAAGUGCAGAGUGAAGCUGGGGGAAAGACCCUUAUAAAACCAUCAGAUCUCAUGAGAACUCACUCAUUAUCAUGAGAAGAGCAUGGAGGUAACUGCCCCCAUGAUUCAGUUACCUCCCACUGGAUCCCUCCCACCACAUGUGGGGAUUAUGGGAACUACAGUUAAAGAUGAGAUUUGGGUGGAGAAACAGCCAAACCAUAGCAGGUAGGCAUUUGAGAUGUCUGAACCUUGUUUUUCUUACAAGUGAAAAAUUAGGUAUUUAAACCCAUGUGGUGGGGCUACUAUGAGCAUUGAAUGAGGGAAAGUGUUGACAAGGCACACAAUUACACCUGGAGUUUAGUUGAAUAAAUGUAGUAUCAUGUUUGUUCUUUCCAGAUACCUUUUAGACCAGUGAUUAUAAACUGGGUGCCCACAGGUCAAAUCCAGCCCACAAUUCCUUUGUAUUGGCAGCUUCCAACUAUCUGAGGAGUGGAGUAUUGGCCUCCUCCCUUAAAAGAAGGCAUGAGCUCUUCAGUUUGGUCACUGAUCCCACCAGUCUGCCAUUUUUAUUUUGCUACAUGCCUGAUCCUUCACCUAUCUGAGUUUGUGACCCCAGCAUAUAGGCUCCUGGCCUUGAACUUCAUAUAGUAUAUUUCCAAUCUCUGUUCAGUGAUAAGAAGCUUAAUAAUGCUAACUGUGGAGGGUCAUCAAAGACAUUACAUACACAAAGACUGGCUAGCACAAUCAGAAUCAUAGUUUAAUGGGAGUGUCACAUCUGAGGCUUCUCUGGCUGGUGCUUUCCAUGAUACUUAACUAACCUAGUGGAUUUUUUUGGCCUCAGUCUUCCGUGGCAUCAAUGCAUAAAUUCUCAUUUUCCCAGCAUACCCUGCGCUAAAAGCAUGAUAUGAAAAUCCAGCAAACCAUGUUUCCUCUAUCAAAUAAUAAUUACUAUUCUUUUUUUCUUAUUUUUUUUUUUUGAGACAGAGUCUCAUUAUCUUGCCCCGGCUGAUUUUGAACUCCUGGGCUCAUGCAGUCCUCCUGCUAAAGCCUCCUAAAAUGUUGGAAUUACAGACAUGAGCCACUGCACCUGGCCUAUCAAAUAAUAAUUAAAAAGUUAAAUCUCAGGUCUCAGAAAUAACAUGGCUUCCUCAGGAAAUGGCUGUGGAAAGACUUCCCACUGUGGCUUGAUGGUAGGCGGUAUGGAAAUGAAUGCAGAAGCAGUAAAAACAUGCGCAAACCCUAGACCCUAGAUCCUGAGACUCAAAGAAAUAUAAUGGGUGCCUGGUGGAUCUUAACAUUUUCAAGCCUGAAAAAUUGUCAUUUGGGGAAUUGUAAGCAGUUUGUGUCUUCUAGGAUAGAACAUACAACUUGUCUUUGGGGCUAUAUCAAUUAGAGUCAUUUGGUGCAAGCAACAGAAACAGAUUUUGGCUGAUGUUAGCAAAAGGGAUUUUAUUGGGUGGAUAUGGGAUGUCUCAAGGAACAGUAAUAAAAGUGAAUAAACUAUGGUCUAUGACAGAACUAGGAAUUAGAUGGCAAGAGCUACCAGACAGCCUCUUUGGGGCUGCUUUUAGAAUGAAUGAUCAUUCAUUUUCAGCCUCCAAGUCGCAUAGCUCAAGAUUCAGAUUAGAGGAAAGAUGGCCUGAUUUUUCAUCUUGGGUCUCUUGUUCAGAAGAAAGAUGGUCUAAUUUUUCAGCUUGGGUCUCUUGUUCACACAGGGGAGGAAGUGCACUUUGCUCAACAGUUUCACCAUAACUACCUAGCAUGGGGUUGAUUGGUCAAAACUGAAUUCCGAUGCUGGUUCCAGAAGAUGGAGACAUAGUGCCAAGAAGGCAACUGCCCCAGGGCAGUCCUUCUCUGCUCCAGGAGGGACUACUUCCCUAGACCUAUUGGUUAGGCAACUCUAAGGCAAGUAUGUCCUGUUUUGGGGGACAAGAUUGACUUAUACCUGUGUCAGAUUCCCAGAGAAGAGCAAUUGCUAAGAGUGGAUCAGGCAUCCCCUCCUGGCCCAGGGUGACUGCUUUAAGCAGCUUUAAACUUCGUGAUUUAAAAAACUAUUAGCAAGGUAUUGUAAAUGAUAAACUGAGAGGAUUUUCAGUACUGAUAGUAACCCUAAUUUACUUUUCUAGAGGGGAGGGAAAAGGAAUUCUGAUUGUUGAGAUCGCAAAAGAGAGCGGGCAUGCAUAGUUUAGCUUCCUUUUCCCCUUGGAAGCCAAUUGAUAGGAAGUCGAAGUGAAUCUUACAAAGGUUCUUAAAAUGUUCUUAAAAGUACUGAAACCACUGGGAGAGGUCCCCAAGACCCUUUCACCUCCUUUCAGCAGGUUCAAAAUAGUAUUUAUAAUAAUGAUAAGAUGUUAAAUUUGCCUUUUUCAUUGUGUUGACAUUUGCAUUGAUGGUACAAAAAUAAAGAUGGGUUAAACUGCUUGUGCCUUGCUGUGAACCAAGGCACAAAAAACUGGACUAGUUAUUGUUUUCUUUACCACCAUAUACUCAGGAAAAAAAACAAAAAACCAGAGUUUUAUUGAGGAAUAUCCUUGAUGAACACUGUUAAUUUUAUUCCGCUGCUGAAUGUCUUUCUUCUGCAUCAUAAAACACAGCGAUUGUUCAGAGGAAAAAUGCACUAGUGCUGUUGUGUGACUCAACUAAAUUUUCCCUCCAGGCACCAUUUUACUUGAAAGAAUGAUUGAACAACAAACCAUGAUUAUUCAAACUUGGGCAUUUGCCUGACGUUUUCUUUAACAAAGUGACUGUCAUUUCAAGGUAAACAACUGACAGUAUCUGUUGCUAAUAAUAAAAUUUGUGCUUACAAGCAAAAAUUCCAGUUUUACAAAACUUAUAUCCACUACCAUAGGCUUGACAGCUUUCCAAUACUUAAAGAUGUUCCUGAGGAUAUUGGCGGUGAUAUUAAUGAAUGCAGCUUUUGCAUACUGUAUAAUGAAAAUGAAAUAUGGUAACAUUUGGAAGAUCUGCUUGUGUCAGUGAACUAAAACUCUCCAGAUAUUCAAUGCCUAAUGUUACAAAGAGCUGUUCAAACUGCAACAGAGAUUAGAGGAUUUAAAUGUAACCAUUGAGAUGGUUUCAUAUCAAUAUUACAAUUAACCUUUAAGAAACUAUCACUUGUUGAGUUUUGAUGUGUAUCAAACCAUAAUAUCCAUAAUUAUCUGAAAGUUUUAAAAUAUUCCUCCCUUUUCCAACUGUAUAUUUGUGUGGGGCUGGAUUUGCUUCAUAUACUUCAAUCAAAACAAUCUUUUAGAAAACAAAGUGAAUGUGGAAGCAGUUAUGAAAAUCUGUCUCUAAUUAAGCCAGACAUUAAAGUUGUAAAAAUAUAAGACAACUGUGCUCUUUUUUUAAAUUUUGGAAAAUAUAUUUGUUUUUAUAAAAAUAUGUUAAUAUUUAAUGGAUUUCUUAUUUACAAAUGAAUUAGCAAAUAAAUAUUUAAAAUUUUUCCAUUUUAA